rnacentral:rRNA from 1 species
CAGGAUGAACGCUGGCGGUCUGCUUAACACAUGCAAGUCGAACGGAGUAGAAAUACUUAGUGGCGGACGGGUGAGUAACGCGUGAGAAUCUGCCUUCAGGACGGAGACAACAGUUGGAAACGACUGCUAAGCCCCGAUGAACCGAAAGGGAAAAUAUUUAUAGCCUGAAGAUGAGCUCGCGUCCGAUUAGCUAGUUGGCGGAGUAAAAGCCCACCAAGGCGACGAUCGGUAGCUGGUCUGAGAGGACGAUCAGCCACACUGGGACUGAGACACGGCCCAGACUCCUACGGGAGGCAGCAGUGGGGAAUUUUCCGCAAUGGGCGAAAGCCUGACGGAGCAAGACCGCGUGGGGGAAGAAGGCUCUUGGGUUGUAAACCCCUUUUCUCUGGGAAGAAAGUUGUGAAAGCAACCUGACGGUACCAGAGGAAUCAGCAUCGGCUAACUCCGUGC